ACGGGAGGCAGCAGUGAGGAAUAUUGGUCAAUGGGCGAGAGCUUGAACCAGCCAAGUCGCGUGCGGGACGAAGGCCCUACGGGUCGUAAACCGCUUUUAUACGGGAAUAAAGUGCGCCACGCGUGGCGUUUUGCAGGUACCGUAGGAAUAAGGAUCGGCUAACUCCGUGCCAGCAGCCGCGGUAAUACGGAGGAUCCGAGCGUUAUCCGGAUUUAUUGGGUUUAAAGGGUGCGUAGGCGGGAAGUCAAGUCAGCCGUAAAAUCGCCGGGCUCAACCCGGUCCCGCGGUUGAAACUGUCUUCCUUGAGUACACUAGAGGGCGAUGGAAUUCGUGGUGUAGCGGUGAAAUGCAUAGAUAUCACGAAGAACUCCGAUUGCGUAGGCAGUCGCCUGGGGUGCCACUGACGCUGAGGCACGAAGGUGCGGGUAUCAAACAGGAUUAGAUACCCUGGUA
rnacentral:rRNA from 1 species